rnacentral:rRNA from 1 species
GCAUAUCAAUAAGCGGAGGAAAAGAAACCAACAGGGAUUGCCUCAGUAACGGCGAAGUGAAGCGGCAACAGCUCAAAUUUGAAAUCUGGCCCUAGGCCCGAGUUGUAAUUUGCAGAGGAUGCUUUUGACAAGGUGCCUUCCGAGUUCCCUGGAACGGGACGCCAUAGAGGGUGAGAGCCCCGUCUGGUCGGACACCGAGUCUCUGUAAAGCUCCUUCGACGAGUCGAGUAGUUUGGGAAUGCUGCUCAAAAUGGGAGGUAUAUGUCUUCUAAAGCUAAAUACCGGCCAGAGACCGAUAGCGCACAAGUAGAGUGAUCGAAAGAUGAAAAGCACUUUGAAAAGAGAGUUAAACAGCACGUGAAAUUGUUGAAAGGGAAGCGUUUAUGACCAGACUUGGCCCGGUUGAUCAUCCAGCGUUCUCGCUGGUGCACUCUGCCGGUCCAGGCCAGCAUCAGUUCGCCUUGGGGGAUAAAGGUUUCGGGAAUGUGGCUCCCUCGGGAGUGUUAUAGCCCGUUGCGUAAUACCCUGCGGUGGACUGAGGUCCGCGCUCUGCAAGGAUGCUGGCGUAAUGGUCAUCAACGACCCGUCUUGAAACACGGACCAAGGAGUCGUCUUCGUAUGCGAGUGUUCGGGUGUCAAACCCCUACGCGUAAUGAAAGUGAACGCAGGUGAGAGCUUCGGCGCAUCAUCGACCGAUCCUGAUGUUCUCGGAUGGAUUUGAGUAAGAGCAUACGGGGCCGGACCCGAAAGAAGGUGAACUAUGCCUGUAUAGGGUGAAGCCAGAGGAAACUCUGGUGGAGGCUCGCAGCGGUUCUGACGUGCAAAUCGAUCGUCAAAUAUGGGCAUGGGGGGCGAAAGACUAAUCGAACCUUCUAGUAGCUGGUUUCCGCG